GGGCCUAUAGCUCAGUUGGUCAGAGCAGAGGACUCAUAAUCCUUUGGUCCACGGUUCGAGUCCGUGUGGGCCCACCA
rnacentral:tRNA from 1 species